ACGGAGGGUGCAAGCGUUAAUCGGAAUUACUGGGCGUAAAGCGUGCGCAGGCGGUUUGUUAAGUCUGCUGUGAAAUCCCCGGGCUCAACCUGGGAAUGGCAGUGGAUACCGGCAAGCUGGAGUGCGGUAGAGGGUAGUGGAAUUCCCGGUGUAGCAGUGAAAUGCGUAGAGAUCGGGAGGAACACCAGUGGCGAAGGCGGCUACCUGGACCAGCACUGACACUGAGGCACGAAAGCGUGGGGAGCAAACAGGA
rnacentral:rRNA from 1 species